GUCUACGGCCACGCCACCCUGAACCCCGCCGAUCUCAGAAGCUAAGCAGGGUCGGGCCUGGUUAGUACGUGGAUGGGAGACUGCCUCGGAAGACCAGGAGCUGUAGGCA
rnacentral:rRNA from 1 species